rnacentral:rRNA from 1 species
AGACCCGAAACCCGGUGAUCUAGCCAUGGGCAGGUUGAAGGUUGGGUAACACUAACUGGAGGACCGAACCGACUAAUGUUGAAAAAUUAGCGGAUGACCUGUGGCUGGGGGUGAAAGGCCAAUCAAACCGGGAGAUAGCUGGUUCUCCCCGAAAGCUAUUUAGGUAGCGCCUCGUGAAUUCAUCUCCGGGGGUAGAGCACUGUUUCGGCUAGGGGGCCAUCCCGGCUUACCAACCCGAUGCAAACUGCGAAUACCGGAGAAUGUUAUCACGGGAGACACACGGCGGGUGCUAACGUCCGUCGUGAAGAGGGAAACAACCCAGACCGCCAGCUAAGGUCCCAAAGUCAUGGUUAAGUGGGAAACGAUGUGGGAAGGCCCAGACAGCCAGGAUGUUGGCUUAGAAGCAGCCAUCAUUUAAAGAAAGCGUAAUAGCUCACUGGUCGAGUCGGCCUGCGCGGAAGAUGUAACGGGGCUAAACCAUGCACCGAAGCUGCGGCAGCGAACGUAUCACUUAAAGCGAUUCAGCGGGUUACGAUUGACGGAGCGAAGCGACGUCAAAGCGUAUACAAAGUCGAGUCGGUUUAAGGAUACGUUCGUUGGGUAGGGGAGCGUUCUGUAAGCCUGUGAAGGUGUGUCGUGAGGCAUGCUGGAGGUAUCAGAAGUGCGAAUG